rnacentral:rRNA from 1 species
CGGAGGAAGGUGGGGACGACGUCAAGUCAUCAUGCCCCUUAUGUCUUGGGCUGCAAACAUGCUACAAUGGCCGGUACAAUGGGCGUGCGAUACCGUAAGGUGGAGCGAAUCCCUUAAAGCCGGUCUCAGUUCGGAUUGGGGUCUGCAACUCGACCCCAUGAAGGUGGA